AGGGUUCGAUUCUGGCUCAGGAUGAACGCUGGCGGCGUGCUUAACACAUGCAAGUCGAACGGGAUCCAUCAGGCUUUGCUUGGUGGUGAGAGUGGCGAACGGGUGAGUAAUGCGUGACCGACCUGCCCCAUGCACCGGAAUAGCUCCUGGAAACGGGUGGUAAUGCCGGAUGCUCCAUCACAUCGCAUGGUGUGUUGGGAAAGCCUUUGCGGCAUGGGAUGGGGUCGCGUCCUAUCAGCUUGAUGGCGGGGUAACGGCCCACCAUGGCUUCGACGGGUAGCCGGCCUGAGAGGGCGACCGGCCACAUUGGGACUGAGAUACGGCCCAGACUCCUACGGGAGGCAGCAGUGGGGAAUAUUGCACAAUGGGCGCAAGCCUGAUGCAGCGACGCCGCGUGAGGGAUGGAGGCCUUCGGGUUGUAAACCUCUUUUGUUAGGGAGCAAGGCACUUUGUGUUGAGUGUACCUUUCGAAUAAGCACCGGCUAACUACGUGCCAGCAGCCGCGGUAAUACGUAGGGUGCAAGCGUUAUCCGGAAUUAUUGGGCGUAAAGGGCUCGUAGGCGGUUCGUCGCGUCCGGUGUGAAAGUCCAUCGCUUAACGGUGGAUCCGCGCCGGGUACGGGCGGGCUUGAGUGCGGUAGGGGAGACUGGAAUUCCCGGUGUAACGGUGGAAUGUGUAGAUAUCGGGAAGAACACCAAUGGCGAAGGCAGGUCUCUGGGCCGUUACUGACGCUGAGGAGCGAAAGCGUGGGGAGCGAACAGGAUUAGAUACCCUGGUAGUCCACGCCGUAAACGGUGGAU
rnacentral:rRNA from 1 species